rnacentral:rRNA from 1 species
UACGUAGGGUGCGAGCGUUGUCCGGAAUUAUGGGGCGUAAAGAGCUUGUAGGCGGUUUGUCGCGUCUGCCGUGAAAAUCCGGGGCUCAACCCCGGACUUGCGGUGGGUACGGGCAGACUAGAGUGUGGUAGGGGAGACUGGAAUUCCUGGUGUAGCGGUGAAAUGCGCAGAUAUCAGGAGGAACACCGGUGGCGAAGGCGGGUCUCUGGGCAGUAACUGACGCUGAGGAGCGAAAGCGUGGGGAGCGAACAGG